rnacentral:rRNA from 2 species
GAUGAACGCCGGCGGUGUGCCUAAUACAUGCAAGUCGUACGCGUUGGCCCAACUGAUUUGAAGUGCUUGCACGGAUCUGACGUUGGUUUACCAACGAGUGGCGGACGGGUGAGUAACACGUAGGUAACCUGCCCAGAAGCGGGGGACAACACUUGGAAACAGGUGCUAAUACCGCAUAACAAUUCAAAUCGCAUGAUUUGAAUUUGAAAGAUGGUUUCGGCUAUCACUUCUGGAUGGACCUGCGGCGCAUUAGCUUGUUGGUGGGGUAACGGCCUACCAAGGCAGUGAUGCGUAGCCGAGUUGAGAGACUGAUCGGCCACAAUGGGACUGAGACACGGCCCAUACUCCUACGGGAGGCAGCAGUAGGGAAUCUUCCACAAUGGGCGCAAGCCUGAUGGAGCAACACCGCGUGAGUGAAGAAGGUUUUCGGAUCGUAAAGCUCUGUUGUUGAAGAAGAACGUGCAUGAGAGUAACUGUUCAUGCAGUGACGGUAUUCAACCAGAAAGUCACGGCUAACUACGUGCCAGCAGCCGCGGUAAUACGUAGGUGGCAAGCGUUAUCCGGAUUUAUUGGGCGUAAAGAGAGUGCAGGCGGUUUCUUAAGUCUGAUGUGAAAGCCUUCGGCUCAACCGAAGAAGUGCAUCGGAAACUGGGAAACUUGAGUACAGAAGAGGGCAGUGGAACUCCAUGUGUAGCGGUGGAAUGCGUAGAUAUAUGGAAGAACACCAGUGGCGAAGGCGGCUGCCUGGUCUGUAACUGACGCUGAGACUCGAAAGCAUGGGUAGCGAACAGGAUUAGAUACCCUGGUAGUCCAUGCCGUAAACGAUGAGUGCUAGGUGUUGGAGGGUUUCCGCCCUUCAGUGCCGGAGCUAACGCAUUAAGCACUCCGCCUGGGGAGUACGACCGCAAGGUUGAAACUCAAAGGAAUUGACGGGGGCCCGCACAAGCGGUGGAGCAUGUGGUUUAAUUCGAAGCUACGCGAAGAACCUUACCAGGUCUUGACAUCUUGCGCCAACCCUAGAGAUAGGGCGUUUCCUUCGGGAACGCAAUGACAGGUGGUGCAUGGUCGUCGUCAGCUCGUGUCGUGAGAUGUUGGGUUAAGUCCCGCAACGAGCGCAACCCUUGUUACUAGUUGCCAGCAUUAAGUUGGGCACUCUAGUGAGACUGCCGGUGACAAACCGGAGGAAGGUGGGGACGACGUCAGAUCAUCAUGCCCCUUAUGACCUGGGCUACACACGUGCUACAAUGGACGGUACAACGAGCAGCGAACUCGCGAGGGCAAGCAAAUCUCUUAAAACCGUUCUCAGUUCGGAUUGCAGGCUGCAACUCGCCUGCAUGAAGUCGGAAUCGCUAGUAAUCGCGGAUCAGCAUGCCGCGGUGAAUACGUUCCCGGGCCUUGUACACACCGCCCGUCACACCAUGAGAGUUUGUAACACCCAAAGUCGGUGGGGUAACCUUUUGGAGCCAGCCGCCUAAGGUGGGACAGAUGAUUAGGGUG